AGACUGAGAUGCUUCCAGAUUUAGCUUUUGCUCUUGAACCUGGAACAGUAAGACUUCACCAUAGCUAUUAAUGUAUAACUUCUCAUAAAAUGACAUUGUAUCACUUUAAGGUCUUAUCUAAGGAACUAAAAGCCCUUUGUACCUUGCUCCUAUGCUUUUUUGGCAUUCUGACAUCUCCAAGAGGAACAAUUGUUCAAUAUGUAAAGUCUAAAUGACUCUUUUUAUUGAAUAAAGUAUUGUGUUAUUGAAUGAAUCGCAAAGCACAGUCUCCUUUGCACAUUAACUUUGAAUCUGCUGCUUAGAGCGAAAUCCUGAUUUUUCUUUCAGAUGCUAAUAGCAUACUGUCCAGGAGAGGCAAGGUUAUUCUCUAAAAGGAAUUGGGUCAUGAUGCCACUGUAUUCCUAGCCUCCCAGGAAACCGUAAAAGAUGCAAGUAGAGACCACCUUAGACAUGCCUUUUCCACUUUCCUGCUUUAUGUCUUGAUUCCAUGCUGAUGUUGACUGGACUGCAUAGUGUGAUGAUUAAUUUUAUGGGCCAACUUGACUGGGCUAAAGAUAUAAAGAAAGCUGAUGGAAGAUUAUUUCUGGGUUCGUCUGGGCUGAUGUUUCUGGAAGAGUAUUUGCAUCAGUGGACAAUAAAGUAUACUCAUCCUCACCGGUGAAGGUUUGCAUCUACUCCAUUGAAGGCAUGUAUAAAAAGAAGCAGGGAUGAUGAAUUCUUUCUCUUCUUAUUCCAUGAGAUAUAUCUGUUCCUGUCCUUAAACAUCAGAGCUCCUGGAUUGAACUUUGGGAUUUACAACAUCACUGUCCCCUGCUGCCACCAUUCAUUCCUUAGUUCCAUGAUCAGACCUUUGGUCUCACACUGAGAGUUAUCAUCAGAUCCUUAGGGAGCCUCAGUCUUUCAGACUUCAGCUUAUUUUGAAUAGUUCUCCAGUUUAUAGAUGGCAUGUCAUAAAAUUUCUUAUCCUCCUUAAUGACAUAAGCCAAUUCCCACAAUAUGUAUCCUUUAUCUAUAGACAUAUAUUUGAGUAAUUCUUUAUUUCUGCAGAACCUUGGUUGAUAUACAUAUUUUCAUAAUUCUCAAUGGCAUUUAAAAAUGCCAGAAUCUGAGUGUCUUCAUUUCUUUGUAAUUCAGAUCAAUACAUUAUUAAUCAUUUGCUGUGUUAUACUAAAGCCUAAUAAUUAUUAGCAAACAAAAGUGAAACAUGAACCAAAUUAGUCUUUUCUUGCCAUAUAUUACAGUAAUAGAAGCUCAAGUAUCAAGACAAGAAAAAAACAUCAGGAAGAUUGAAGCAGCUAUCACAGACUGUUUGAGAAAGGAAAACAGGGUGUUCUAAACAAGUGUAUAAAAGGAAGAAUUGUCCAUGAUAAUAUCUCAAGCUAGAAAUAAGAAGUCCUGGUUUAGGUAAAUAUUUAGAUGCCAAGUGGUAUAGUGAUGAGUCUUAGUAAUUAUUGUUCUCACAACAAUGGCCAGCAAAGCAUGAUAACCUAAGGGUGAAGUUGUGGCAAGCAUACCUUCACAGUAAACAAUAGCUCUCUAAUUGGACAUGAGACCCACUCAUCAAAAGGGAAAUUAUGCCUGGUAUUGGAAGCCUUGUCAAUUACCCAGGGCUAGUGAAGUCAUGGAUGUUGUAGAAUAAUGUUUUUCUACACUGCAAAGAUGUGUUGCUCUUAUUGGUUUAAUAAAGAGCUAAAUGGCCAAUAGUUCGACAAGAAAAGGUUAGGUGGGACUUGCAGACAGGGAGAGAGCUUAGGGAUGAAGGAGGGCCCAGUCUCCAGGAGAUGUAGUGAUAAACAGGAUGAGCAUGCUGUCCUGAGGAAAGGUAAUGAGCCAUGUGGUAGAAUAUAGAUAAGAAAUAUGGUUUAUUUCAGUUGUAUGAGCUAGUUAGU